UUUAAAGUUGUAUUACAUCUAAACAAGUGCCUUGUAGCCUUUUAAGAUACGGCUACAGAGUAUAAUGUGGCACAUUAUAUAAUUGUGGGCUUACUAAAUAAAAGGAUUUAUGAGAAAUAGGUUUGUUUUUUGUUGUUGUUGUUGUUGUUGAAACUUCAUGGGUCCAUAGCUGACAGUUGCAGUGUUUAGUCAGACAUCUCUUAGGAUAACUGCCCCCUGGAAGAGCCAUGGUGUGUAGGAAGGAGAUGCCCAGAGGGGAUGACCUGGACAUCAGAUAUAGUCAUUCCCUUUUUAUGCAUUUUGGGAAAUCAUAUAGCUCUGAAGGACUGGAAUCUCUUGGAAGGGGAAUGGAGGUACAGGAGACUUGUCUUAAAGCAACCCUCGCAUAGCAAGAUAUGUGUUCAGCAAGGUGGGGCUGGUGGAGAGCCCAAGGCCUGUGAGAGGGCAGGUAGUGCUCUGGAACUGCUGUGUGAAGUCUUGACUCCUAGGGACCAAGAGGCAGAUGGACUCAGGGUCUGAGGCAGUUGAAGCAGUGGGCUUGACCAUGUAUGCUAAGGUGAGUAGAUUAUUGGAGAGG
rnacentral:lncRNA from 1 species